UUACGGAAGGCAGCAGUAAGGGAUAUUGCGCAAUGGGCGAAAGCCUGACGCAGCAACGCCGCGUGGAGGAUGACGGCCUUCGGGUUGUAAACUCCUUUUAGCUCGGACGAGGAAGGACGGUACGGGCUGAAGAAGUCACGGCUAACUACGUGCCAGCAGCCGCGGUAAAACGUAGGUGGCAAGCGUUAUCCGGAUUUACUGGGCGUAAAGCGUGUGCAGGCGGUGGUGCAAGUGGUGUAUGAAAUCGCCCGGCUUAACCGGGCGGGGUUAGGCCAGACUGCACGACUGGAGUGCGGGAGAGGGGCGUGGAAUUCCGGGUGUAGUGGUGAAAUGCGUAGAGAUCCGGAGGAACCCCAGCGGCGAAGGCGGCGCCCUGGCCCGACACUGACGCUCAGACACGACAGCAUGGGGAGCGAACGGGAUUAGAUACCCUGGUAGA
rnacentral:rRNA from 1 species